AGUGCCACUAGAGGCGUUGCAGCGCGACGGACGUUGUUGCGUCUGUGUCAUCAGCUGGCUGAGAGUGGAAAGCGCACGCGUCACCUGGCCCUAGCGUUGUGGGGACUUGGAAAGUUAUGUGACGCAACAAC